rnacentral:misc_RNA from 1 species
CUUUUUUCUCCUGCUUAAAAAAUAUGCUUAAUUUUUUAUAUUCUAAACAUAAUCUUAUGGUAGGACUUCAUGAUAAAAUUGACUUGCUUCGUGAAUGGCUUUUCUUGGAUGAUCUUUGAUGUGAUCAGGGUUUUGGGGGUCAAAAACAUCCUCAAGUUAUUUGACUUAUUUCUGAACUUACCUAUUUGAUUUUAUGUUCUCGGGACUCCGACUCCCACAGCCUGCUGAAGGACAAAAGGAAAUUCUUUGUUUUGUGGGAAAAAAAAAAUUGUGGGCCUUUCACUAUAGUUGCUUUUCUUCUGCUGUUUAGAACCUGGUUUCCUCUGGAUUUCAUGCAUCUGUGUCUGAACCCAACCCAAGUUUUAUUUGUCAUGAAAUCCUUUGAUGACUUCAGUCUCUAUUUUUAUACAUUAUGAUGUACAGCAUGCGUGGUGAUCUUCCAACUUCUGAUAGAGCUAUCGAUUUCUAAACCUCUUAUAAGACUGAUAUCGAUUAAAUUUUUGGUUGAAACUCUCUGCUCUGCUUAUAUAGUUAAUAUUGGUGUUUGUGCCCUUAAUACCAUUUUGCUCUGGAUCCCAUGCAGGAUUUUGAAUGUGCAAGUUGG